AUGUGGAAGCAACAAAUAGUAGAAUUACAAUCAAAGGUGAAGAAGGCUGAAGAUAGACAGGAUGAACUCCGAAGUGUCGGUCGACAACGACUGAAUGAUGAAGCCUUGAUUGGAGUCCAAUAUUUUGAAAAAGUUGACACUUUGGAUGCAGAGAUCAAAAGCAUCACUUCAACCAUUUCACUAACUGGGCUUCGACUAGUGGCAACAAGGGCUCAAUAUGAAAGAUUCAAAGCCUUUCUUCCCUUUUAA